UCCAAACGCUAUUCCAGAAAAUACUAGAAUAUCUCAAAACAUUAUAUAUCAGUUAUCUAAGAUGACGAAUUUAUACAACGCAAAAUUACCAACACACGAUGUGCAAGAUGACUUUACCAGAAGCUGGAGAGGCAGCAGCUUUUCUUAAGCCAGAAAAGAAAUGUUUGAAGAAGUACAUAGGGAACUCUCUAAGAGAGAGUAUGUGGCAAGCUAUGGAAGAGCAGAGAAUAACUUGUGGUGUUAUUGACUGCGCUAAAUUAUUAAAAUGCUAUUACGAGAAUGUGAUGUUAUGUGUUUUACCGGAGGCUGGUAGUGAAGAGGUAUCGGUUCAUAUUCAGCAUACAUUAAUUGAAGCUUUCUGUUGGGAAAAUGAUAUAAGAAUCCUGAAGGU